ACUUUCGUUGAUCGAGUUCGUCUAUGGCGCUUUAAUACAGUUUUCAAUUUGUUUCGGAAAGUUUUUACGUGUCAUAUUUGUAGCGUGUUGCUGGAUGGGCCUCUUUCCUUUUAUGUUAUCUCAAGUUUGGCGGUUUUUUUUCUCAAGUAGUCAUUUUUGGCGCGCAGAGCUAAACUCUCUAUAUUUGUAUGUUUUUUCUAGUUGCGUUCACGGGCUCAUUAUUUCUGCUGCCCUUGUUCUGGUGCUGGUGGCCUCAUUGGCUCUUUAUAAUUUUAUUGGUUCCAACUUCGACGAGGAAGAAGCCCAAAGGCAGCAGCA